GAUGCAAGCAGAGCAUAUGCCAACAGCACUCACAGAAGAAAUAUUUUUAUGGCAGUUUUAUGAUGCAGUGCUGUUGGGGCUGGACAGUAGCAAAGAAUAUGUUAUUAAUAUUACAGAGGUUCCACACUGAGAUAAGCAGCUUCCUGUCAAAUCAGCCAGUGCUGCUGAACGAAUUGACCUUGACAUGACUGCUGUGAUGCCAAAAGCCACAAGCCAAUGGUGACAAUUGCUACAUAUUGUCACAGCUGAUUCGUAUGUUUGAUGCAUGUCAAAAAUACCAGGUGGUAAAGACAUAAAGGAGUGCAGUCCCUUGGUUCAUCAAAAUCUAACCUCUCAAACCUCAAUAAACAUUUGUGAUCAGGCAUAA